GAAAAGAUCGAUGUUGUCUCUUGGAAUAUAAGGGCGAGGCCGUACAAGCAUCUGCUUUAUGUAAAGAAAUUUGCCUUUUAGUAAAGUUUUCUAAAUGUAAUUAAAUCAGAAUCAACGUCCCUUUAGGCAUUCAUUUCAUGCAUCCGCAUUACAUGACAUUAUAUGCAUCAAAAUCCAUUGAAAGAGUCUAAUUGAGUAAAUUUAUUUCAGCUAAUCUGGAAAACCAAC
rnacentral:lncRNA from 1 species